AACGAACGCUGGCGGCAUGCCUAACACAUGCAAGUCGAACGAGACCUUCGGGUCUAGUGGCGCACGGGUGCGUAACGCGUGGGAACCUGCCCUUAGGUUCGGAAUAACUCCCCGAAAGGGGUGCUAAUACCGGAUAAUGUCAUCGGACAAAAGAUUGAUCGCCUUUGGAUGGGCCCGCGUUGGAUUAGCUAGUUGGUAGGGUAAAAGCCUACCAAGGCGACGAUCCAUAGCUGGUCUGAGAGGAUGAUCAGCCACACUGGGACUGAGACACGGCCCAGACUCCUACGGGAGGAAGCAGUGGGGAAGAUUGGACAAUGGGCGAAAGCCUGAUCCAGCAAAGCCGCGUGAGUGAUGAAGGCCUGAGGGUUGUAAAGCUCUUUUACCCGUGAUGAUAAUGACAGAACCGGGAGAAUAAGCUCCGGCUAACUCCGU
rnacentral:rRNA from 1 species